ACUAAAAACCGGGACGUGAGUGUCCCGAAGAACCGAUUAAAAAUUCAUGCAACCCAGAAGAGCUGACGAGACCAGCACCGCCAGAGGCGCUAGUGUAUUUUACUCACAUUUCGGUAAUUUUAUUUGAAAGUGUUUUGUCCAUUAAAAAUAUUCCGAUAAAGACUUCCAUAUUAAUUUCUUUUGCCUUCAAAUUGUGUGGCAGUUUGUUUAGUGGAUUUUAAAAAGCGAAAAUGUGCAGACGGUUGCUGCGUAUUUCAACACAAGAAAGCGUGUUGCGGCGGAUGAGUUCAGUGCGAUUACUCGGAACAAGAAUGCCACCGCUGAUGAAUCGGGUUCCGCUGGAACUCCGGAUAAGAAGAUGACCCGAGUUUCCCGGUCUAUCAAAUGGAUCGGCGUCGUCAAAGUUGAUGUAAAGACCAACCAAAGUAAG